rnacentral:tRNA from 1 species
GCCCGAGUGGCGAAAUCGGUAAACGCAGAGGACUUAAAAUCCUUAGCCGCAAGGCGUGCGGGUUCAAAUCCCGCCUCGGGCA